GGCAUAUCCAGGAUGAGAGCUCUGAAGUUUCCCAUCUGCAGGCAUCUCAGCUGUGUGUGGAAUUCGCCUGCCAUGAUGGUAUGCCUCUCAGGUAGAGGCUGCCUCAUAUGCCUUUGUGAUGGUGACACUCAUUUUACUGUGAAGAAACUGCUAAUAAUCAAGCACUACAAAGACCAGGAAUGGAGAGAAUUUUUAUGCCCAAGAAACAGAAACACAGAGAAGUAGAGUUUCCUUUGGAUUGUUCUGGAAGAAGGAACCCAGGACUCUGAAGCAGGAUCGCUCAUGAGGAGUUCAUUAAAUAUUAACAGCAUUGGAAAUAUAUUGCAGAACUUUAAAAAAAGUAGAGGGUUGCAGAAAGUCCUUGAUUUUAAGGAAACAUGAAAAAUAAAACCUAUGUAAUAUUAAUGAAACAUCCUCCAGUCUCCUCUCUCUGAUAUACCAGAACCUGCCAAAGAAACGAUGAAUACAUUGCCUCCUACAAACAGGGUUUUAAUGGUUCCCAG